rnacentral:lncRNA from 1 species
GAAUUUGGUAGUUCUACAACAAAUAUGGUGCGAGAAAAGUUGUCCCGCACAAAACAGUUUUUGCUAUGUUGUACAUUUGUAAGACGGAGACAAGACGACAUGCGGGUAUGACGGGUCCUCUUAUACCCAAUAUUUGUGUCUUCAAAUGCUCAUAAAAAUUUAAUUUGACUUUCCGGUAAAAAAAUUUUUUUUGUUAAAUUUACGAAAACUUAAGGGGAAUUGUGCAUGAAAAUUUCAAACCUUAGAUAUGCAUAGAACAUUUUUUAUGAAUUUCUAACGUGAGAUAAUAACCGAUUUUCGUGAUUUUGAUAAAUUUUGUCAACAUUUUAACUUCAGACGCUUAUAAAAAAUUAUUUUGGUUUUGCGCUCAACUUUUUUUUUUAAUUUCCACAACAACUACUUAAGGUAGGUCCGUUGUAUUACGUUUUCCUAUAGGCACUGUUCAUUUCGACAUCCCUUAUGCACCUACUAGAUUCACUUACCGGAAAAGAUGAAAAGCGGAGCAUUGUUUCGAAUACUCAUCGUGUACACUGACGCAAAUAAUAACAAUUUAUUAAGCAGAACGUACAUUUUGUCAUUAGUAUCAAUAUAGAUCGAUUCACUCUAAUUUUUAAACUAAUUAUGCUAAAUUAAAAUGUGAUCGUAAAUUUGCUAUAUAUAAGACGGACACAAUAAAAUGCCCGUGUUACGUGUUAAAUCGUGGAGCUGCAUCGUUCACGAAUUUUCAAAAUUUUAAUGCCCGCGAUUCUGUCUUAUCACUAUGUACCGCUAAAUAGUAAUAACUGUUAUCAAAUAAAUAACAACAUAAUAUUAUUAUUUUUUCGUAUGCCGACUUUAAAUUUGAAUCACUCACGAAUCUCGAUUAUUUGAAAUUUUAACAAAAAUAAAGACUACAGAACACUCGUAAAGAGUUCUAUUCAUACAUUUUAGUACAAAACCACCAUUGACAAGUGUAUUCUUUUCAGUAAAACAUUCAACGUAUCGCCUCGCCACAGCACGUCAAUCUUCAUUUAUUUCCAAAAAAUCAAUGAAAUAGAAGGGAAUAAUGGCUAAAAAUGUUCGAAUUAAAUGAUCACCCCAAUUUCUACCUGGCAUAGAAUCUGCGGUAAUCAUUUCACAAUAAUUAUUGGUUGCAAACAACGCUCGGUAAAUUAGUAAACAUGGUCAGAAGCCGUCUCAAAACAUAAUCCAAACCACUUGUCCGGGAUAGAGAAGUAAAAUAAAUGUUAGUGAUUCACGGCAACAUUUGUAAGUCCUACUGUGUGCGCGACUAGUAAAUCUCAUCUAAGAGAAAAUUUUGUUUCUCCAACGACGAGUUAGAAGAGAAUGUACAGACGAAUAAAGGAUUUGGAGUCCAUACAGUUGAUGAUUUUAAUUCAUCCAGAAAAGCCUUAGAUACCCAAUAAUGUCUAAUUCACACACACUUAUCUCAUACAAUGGAUUAUACUUAUUAUGGUUAUCAAAACUGAAAUAUAUGAUGUGCCACUUACAAGGAGCUAGGUAGUGGAGCCAAUGUAUUAACAAUUUUUCAGACGUUGACUCUCUCGAAGAUAAUUCUACCGACUCAGGUGAAGCCAUACCUUAUUGGAGCGAAUUAUGAAACUGAAAGGUAAUACAAUUUUGCUGACCAAGAAUCCAAUUUUAACAACGCAGAGGGCCUCAACAUAUUCAAAUAGCAAAGAAACACAUAACUAGUUUGGACAUUGAUAUCUUUUCUGAAGGGAAAGUGCAUCUAGUUGGAUGCGUUAAACAGGUCGUCAAGCCCGUUCCCAUUCACAAACUUGUUUGAAAAAAGAGUAUGCAAUGACCAAAAAGCUUCAGUGGCUGUUAUUAAAAUUCUUCAACUAUCAACAAUGGACAUGAUUUAUGAAGACUUUUAAAUUAGUUAUAUUCUGAUAGGCACCUAUUUCCUUAAAUUUGUGUACUUAUUUGUCCUACGUUUUCCCCCCACCUUCCAUCAGAAAGUAAUUAGUUACUUUAUCUAAGCAAAAAAUACCAUACCUAUUCACUGUGGAGUUGUGUUUGUGAAUAAAAUUAUUUUGUCAAUGACUAAUUUAAGAAAACAUUAUUUUUUAAUUUUAUAAUAAAAAACAAUAGUAGGUACCUAUUUAA